AGGAAGUCAAAAAAGUACCGCCUGCC
rnacentral:sRNA from 1 species